GAGCUGCCAUGUUAAAACUAGCAUUUGAGGCCUGGUGCGGUGCGGCAUUCCAGCCUGGGUGACAGAGCGAGACUCCCAUCUCAAAAAAAAAAAAAAAAAGAUGUAACCAGUGAUUGUCACCUAUAGAAAUGAGAUUAAGCCCCAAAAGAGGGCCUGCUUAUAUGAGUUUCUGAUUUUUACAGUCCUCAUUCAUGGUGCUAGUGCAGGACAAUAGCAUUUCCUUGAGAUUCAUUAGCAUCUCUGGCUUCAUAUACUGGGUUUCCUCUUGCAGAUUUGAAGAACCCAAGUGAUUCAACAGUGCACAGCCCCUUUACAAAGCGCCAGGCUUUUACCCCAUCUUCAACCAUGAUGGAGGUGUUCCUUCAGGAGAAGUCACCUGCAGUGGCUACCUCCACAGCUGCACCUCCACCUCCGUCUUCUCCUCUGCCAAGCAAAUCCACGUCGGCUCCACAGAUGUCGCCUGGAUCUUCAGACAACCAGUCCUCUAGCCCUCAGCCGGCUCAGCAGAAACUGAAACAGCAGAAGAAAAAAGCCUCCUUGACUUCUAAGGUACUUAAACUUUUAGGUAGAUACCAUUUUAUGGCAAGGGGUGUGGGGCUUGAGAAUUGAGAUUAAAAGGGUAAGUUUGGAAAUUUAAAGGGAGGGGUUUUUUUUAGUCUUUAGUAAGGUUGUAUUAAAGCCAUUACUUUCUCUUCUCCUUCAACUUUAUAGAUUCCUGUUCUGGCUGUGGAGAUGCCUGGCUCAGCAGAUAUC
rnacentral:lncRNA from 1 species